CAUGCCCAGGGGACGUGGAUAACCUCGGGAAACUGAGGAUAAACCGCGAUAGGUCACUACUUCUGGAAUGGGUAAUGACCCAAACCUACAUGGCCCCUGGAUUGGACUGCGGCCGAUCAGGCUGUUGGUGAGGUAAUGGCCCACCAAACCUGUAACCGGUACGGGCUCUGAGAGGAGGAGCCCGGAGAUGGGCACUGAGACAAGGGCCCAGGCCCUAUGGGGCGCAGCAGGCGCGAAACCUCUGCAAUAGGCGAAAGCUUGACAGGGUUACUCUGAGUGAUUUCCGUUAAGGAGAUCUUUUGGCACCUCUAAAAAUGGUGCAGAAUAAGGGGUGGGCAAGUCUGGUGUCAGCCGCCGCGGUAAUACCAGCACCCCGAGUGGUCGGGACGUUUAUUGGGCCUAAAGCAUCCGUAGCCGGUUCUACAAGUCUUCCGUUAAAUCCACCUGCUUAACAGAUGGGCUGCGGAAGAUACUAUGGAGCUAGGAGGCGGGAGAGGCAAGCGGCACUCGAUGGGUAGGGGUAAAAUCCGUUGAUCCAUUGAAGACCACCAGUGGCGAAGGCGGCUUGCCAGAACGCGCUCGACGGUGAGGGG
rnacentral:rRNA from 1 species